UUCCGUAGGUGAACCUGCGGAGGGAUCAUUACCGAGUUUACAACUCCCAAACCCCUGUGAACAUACCACUUGUUGCCUCGGCGGAUCAGCCCGCUCCCGGUAAAACGGGACGGCCCGCCAGAGGACCCCUAAACUCUGUUUCUAUAUGUAACUUCUGAGUAAAACCAUAAAUAAAUCAAAACUUUCAACAACGGAUCUCUUGGUUCUGGCAUCGAUGAAGAACGCAGCAAAAUGCGAUAAGUAAUGUGAAUUGCAGAAUUCAGUGAAUCAUCGAAUCUUUGAACGCACAUUGCGCCCGCCAGUAUUCUGGCGGGCAUGCCUGUUCGAGCGUCAUUUCAACCCUCAAGCACAGCUUGGUGUUGGGACUCGCGUUAAUUCGCGUUCCUCAAAUUGAUUGGCGGUCACGUCGAGCUUCCAUAGCGUAGUAGUAAAACCCUCGUUACUGGUAAUCGUCGCGGCCACGCCGUUAAACCCCAACUUCUGAAUGUUGACCUCGGAUCAGGUAGGAAUACCCGCUGAACUUAAGCAUAUCAAUAAGCGGAG
rnacentral:rRNA from 1 species